UGGAAGUGGAGAAGAGGAGGUGCUAUCACAGGGAGCCAUCCACACCAGGGGGUAGCCACCGCCCCCAGCAACCCGGCGCCACCA